rnacentral:tRNA from 1 species
CCCUGGGUGGCUCAGUCAGUUGAGCAUCUGACUCUUGAUUUCAGCUCAGGUCAUGAUCUCAGGGUCGUGGGAUCGAGCCCCGCCUCAGGCU